rnacentral:rRNA from 1 species
UACGGAGGGGGCUAGCGUUGUUCGGAAUUACUGGGCGUAAAGCGCACGUAGGCGGCUUUGUAAGUUAGAGGUGAAAGCCCGGGGCUCAACUCCGGAAUUGCCUUUAAGACUGCAUCGCUAGAAUUGUGGAGAGGUAAGUGGAAUUCCGAGUGUAGAGGUGAAAUUCGUAGAUAUCGGGAGGAACACCAGUGGCGAAGGCGGCGACCUGGACGGACACUGACGCUGAGACGCGAAAGCGUGGGGAGCAAACAGG